CCUACGGGGGGCAGCAGUGGGGAAUAUUGCACAAUGGGGGAAACCCUGAUGCAGCGACGCCGCGUGAGUGAAGAAGUAAUUCGUUACGUAAAGCUCUAUUAGCAGGGAAGAAAAUGACGGUACCUGAGUAAGAAGCCCCGGCUAACUACGUGCCAGCAGCCGCGGUCAUACGUAGGGGGCAAGCGUUAUCCGGAUUUACUGGGUGUAAAGGGAGCGUAGACGGGGCGCCAAGAUUGGAGUGAAAUGCCGCAGCUUAACAGCGGAACUGUUUUGGAAACUGGCUAACUAGAGUGCGGGAGGGGUAAGCGGAAUUUCUAGUGUAGCAGUGAAAUGCGUAGAUAUUAGGAGGAACACCGAUGGCGAAGGCAGCUUACUGGACCGGAACUGACGUUGAGGCUCGAAAGCGUGGGGAGCAAACAGGAUUAGAUACCCCUGUAGUC
rnacentral:rRNA from 1 species